UACGAACUGUGCGAACGUUAUUCGGAAUCACUGGGCUUACAGGGUGCGUAGGCGGCUUGUCAAGUAGGGUGUGAAAUCCCCCGGCUCAACCGGGGAAUGGCGCCUUAAACUGACGAGCUAGAGUGAGAUAGGGGUGUGCGGAACUUCCGGUGGAGCGGUGAAAUGUGUUGAUAUCGGAAGGAACGCCGGUGGCGAAAGCGGCACACUGGAUCUUGUCUGACGCUGAGGCACGAAAGCCAGGGGAGCGAACGGG
rnacentral:rRNA from 1 species